AUACGUAGGUGACAAGCGUUAUCCGGAUUUACUGGGCGUAAAGGGCGUGUAGGCGGUCUUGCAAGUCAGAAGUGAAAUUCCUGAGCUCAACUCGGGCGCUGCUUCUGAAACUGCAGGACUUGAGUGCUGGAGGGGAUAGCGGAAUUCCUAGUGGAGCGGUAAAAUGCGCAGAUAUUAGGAAGAACACCGGUGGCGAAGGCGGUUAUCUGGACUGUAACGAACGUUGCGGUGCGAAAUAGUGGGGAGCAAACAGGUUUAUAUCCCCUGGUAGCCCACGCCGUAAACGAUGAAUACUAGGUGUAGGGGGUAUCGACUCCCUCUGUGCCGCAGUUAACACAAUAAGUAUUCCGCCUGGGGAGUACGGCCGCAAGGUUGAAACUCAAAGGAAUUGGCGGGG
rnacentral:rRNA from 1 species